UACGAAGGGGGCUAGCGUUGCUCGGAUUGACUGGGCGUAAAGGGCGCGUAGGCGGUUCGUACAGUCAGACGUGAAAUUCCUGGGCUCAACCUGGGGGCUGCGUUUGAUACGUGCGGACUUGAGUGCGGAAGAGGGUCGUGGAAUUCCCAGUGUAGAGGUGAAAUUCGUAGAUAUUGGGAAGAACACCGGUGGCGAAGGCGGCGACCUGGUCCGAUACUGACGCUGAGGAGCGAAAGCAUGGGUAGCGAACAGG
rnacentral:rRNA from 1 species